AAUUAGAUUGCAGCGGCUAUAAAUAUACAAUCAUAAGGCUAGUCGAAUUAUUAGUUUUGAAAAUUCAAACUGAAUACAGCACUCAUUUACAAUUACACGUUAAUAGUAGAAAAGCAGAAAAUGAAAUUCGUUAAUAUUGCAUUAGGUGUGAUAUAUAUUGCAGUGUGCAUCUUUGCAUUUGGUAAUGUCAACACAGAAGCAAAUCCAGGUCCAGGUACAUUCCAGGGACCGCAAAAUGGUCAAUCUGCGACAGUUGAUAACGUUUACUGACCUGGUCGUACCAUGUGUGGGCAGAAAUGGAUCCGUGCAUUAUGGUUUCCAAAUUAAUAACAGAAAAAAAUAAAAAUAAUAAUAAAAAUGUAGUUUUCAUUUCUUUUGAACUAUAAAUUACACAAUA